AUACGGAAGGUGCAAGCGUUAAUCGGAAUCACUGGGCGUAAAGCGCUCGUAAAAGGUGGCUUUGUAAGUCAGGUGUGAAAGCCCACGGCUCAACCGUGGAAUUGCACUUGAUACUGCAUUGCUUGAGUUCGGGAGAGGGUAGUGGAAUUCCAGGUGUAGGAGUGAAAUCCGUAGAGAUCUGGAGGAACACCAGUGGCGAAGGCGACUACCUGGACCGAUACUGACACUGAGGAGCGAAAGCGUGGGGAGC
rnacentral:rRNA from 1 species